GGCAAACAUGGUUCACUGAGGAUGAGCGUGGUUGUCGCUGAGGAAUAGUUGGGACUUUGGACCCAAUGACCAGCUGCUGACACCAGGCGACCUGUGCAGACGGCAGCUCACCGUGCUCGCCCAGCUUUCCGGUUGGUUUGCCCUCACCAGGCUCUGCGUUUGGGGACCAGGGUCCACCUGCAGGGUCAAAACCACUCAAUGAUCGGCUGAUUUUUUUAUUGCAUUUGUUCAAUCACUAAUGCCAACAACCUACAUAUCCACAGUAACAGAUGUGCUUUGAAACAGGAAAAAAUGGGG
rnacentral:lncRNA from 1 species